rnacentral:pre_miRNA from 1 species
UAUCCCUGUGCCACAGGGUCCAGCUGUUGGCUACAAUACCCUACGGGUCGUUGAUGGUCCCCAUGUUUUUGGGUG